rnacentral:rRNA from 1 species
UGCGCGGCUACCAUGCAAGUUCGAGCGCGAAAGGCUUUCGGGCUGAGUAGAGCGGCGGACGGGUGAGUAACGCGUAGGAAUCUACCUGGUAGUGGGGGACAACUUGGGGAAACUCAAGCUAAUACCGCAUACGCCCUAAGGGGGAAAGCGGGGGACCUUCGGGCCUCGCGCUAUCAGAUGAGCCUGCGUAGGAUUAGCUAGUUGGUGAGGUAAAGGCUCACCAAGGCGACGAUCCUUAGCUGGUCUGAGAGGAUGAUCAGCCACACUGGGACUGAGACACGGCCCAGACUCCUACGGGAGGCAGCAGUGGGGAAUAUUGCGCAAUGGGGGCAACCCUGACGCAGCCAUGCCGCGUGUGUGAAGAAGGCCUUCGGGUUGUAAAGCACUUUAAGUGGGGAAGAAAAGCGGGUCGUUAAUAGCGGCCAGCCGUGACAUUACCCACAGAAUAAGCACCGGCUAACUCCGUGCCAGCAGCCGCGGUAAUACGGAGGGUGCGAGCGUUAAUCGGAAUUGCUGGGCGUAAAGCGCGCGUAGGCGGUUUGUUAAGUCAGCUGUGAAAGCCCCGGGCUCAACCUGGGAACUGCAGUUGAUACUGGCCGACUGGAGUACGAGAGAGGGAGGUAGAAUUCCAUGUGUAGCGGUGAAAUGCGUAGAUAUAUGGAGGAAUACCGGUGGCGAAGGCGGCCUCCUGGCUCGAUACUGACGCUGAGGUGCGAAAGCGUGGGGAUCAAACAGGAUUAGAUACCCUGGUAGUCCACGCCGUAAACGAUGUCUACUAGCCGUUGGGAGACUUGAUUUCUUAGUGGCGCAGCUAACGCAAUAAGUAGACCGCCUGGGGAGUACGGCCGCAAGGUUAAAACUCAAAUGAAUUGACGGGGGCCCGCACAAGCGGUGGAGCAUGUGGUUUAAUUCGAUGCAACGCGAAGAACCUUACCAGGUCUUGACAUCCAGAGAACUUGGCAGAGAUGCCUUUGGUGCCUUCGGGAGCUCUGAGACAG